GGGUCAGUAGGCUGGUCGUGCCACCGGUACGUACUGGUCUCACUGAUUCCUCCUUCCUGAAGAACCGUAAUGCCAUUAAUUUGGUGUUGCGGGGAAACAGGACUGUUACUUUGAAAAAAUUAGAGUGUCUAAAGCAAUCUAACGCUUGAAUACAUUAGCAUGGAAUAAUGAAAUAGGAAGAUCGAUCCUAUUUUGUUGGUUUCUAGGAUUGACGUA
rnacentral:rRNA from 1 species